CCUACGGGCGGCAGCAGUGAGGAAUAUUGGUCAAUGGACGAGAGCCUGAACCAGCCAAGUAGCGUGAAGGAUGACUGCCCUAUGGGUUGUAAACUCCUUCUAUAUGGGAAUAAAAUGUUCCACUUGUGACAUUUUGUAUGUACCAUAUGAAUAAGGAUCGGCUAACUCCGCGCCAGCAGCGGCGGUAAUACGGAGGAGCCGAGCGUUGUCCGGAUUUAUUGGGGUUAAAGCGAGCGUAGGUGGGUGGUUAAGUCAGAUGUGAAAGUUACGGGCUUAACCGGGAAAUUGCAGUUGAAACUGGCAAGCUAGAGUAUAGUAGAGGGGGGUAGAAUGCGAAGUGUAGCGGUGAAAUGCGUAGAUAUCAGGAAGAACACCGAUGGCGAAGGCGGCCCACUGGACAAAGACUGACGCUGAGGUGCGAAAGUGUGGGGAUCAAACAGGAGUAGAUACCCCAGUAGUC
rnacentral:rRNA from 1 species